rnacentral:ncRNA from 1 species
CCUCCCAUAUUCAUAAAGAGUAUGGAGUGAUGUAUGUAUACAUCCAAAAUCCCUUUAACUGCUGGAAACUCCUAAAGCUAUACUAACUACAACAUAAGAAUGAAAUAAGUCUAAGUGUGAAAGUUACGAAAGUAGAAAAAAUAGUAUAGAUGGCAUAAGGUUAAAUCCUAAGUGUUGUAAUAAUGGACAAUCAGCAACCAAGUUCCGAAUAGGAAAAGGCUCAACGACUAGAGAAUAUUCUCGUACACUCAAGUGGGUGGAAAUGGGGGACGCCGAUUAAGGUGAUGAUAUAGUCUACGCUCAUAUAAAAGUAUGAG